CCCAAUACCUCUUAGGCAUCCUUCUGCCUCGCCGAACGCUGAUCAUCGCCAGCCGUUCACAACUCCUCACCGUGGCAUCAGUACUCCGCAUAUGCUCGAACCACCUCAGCCUCGUUUCUCGCAUCUUCUCAUCCAUUGGGGCUACCCCACCUUCUCUCAAAUAACUUCAUUCUUAAUUUUAUCUAAACUGGUGAGCCCGCGCAUCCAAAACAAUAACCAAAAUCUGAAAUUAAUAUAACGAAUGAUUUUAACAGAAAGAGUAUUAGAUGCAAAGGCAAGGAAAAGAGAAAAGAAAU
rnacentral:lncRNA from 1 species